rnacentral:rRNA from 1 species
AGAGUUUGAUCAUGGCUCAGGAUGAACGCCGGCGGUGUGCCUAAUACAUGCAAGUCGUACGCACUGGCCCAACUGAUUGAUGGUGCUUGCACCUGAUUGACGAUGGAUCACCAGUGAGUGGCGGACGGGUGAGUAACACGUAGGCAACCUGCCCCGGAGCGGGGGAUAACAUUUGGAAACAGAUGCUAAUACCGCAUAACAACAAAAGUCACAUGGCUUUUGUUUGAAAGAUGGCUUUGGCUAUCACUCUGGGAUGGACCUGCGGUGCAUUAGCUAGUUGGUAAGGUAACGGCUUACCAAGGCGAUGAUGCAUAGCCGAGUUGAGAGACUGAUCGGCCACAAUGGAACUGAGACACGGUCCAUACUCCUACGGGAGGCAGCAGUAGGGAAUCUUCCACAAUGGGCGCAAGCCUGAUGGAGCAACACCGCGUGAGUGAAGAGGGGUUUCGGCUCGUAAAGCCCUGUUGUUGGAGAAGAACGUGCGUGAGAGUAACUGUUCACGCAGUGACGGUAUCCAACCAGAAAGUCACGGCUAACUACGUGCCAGCAGCCGCGGUAAUACGUAGGUGGCAAGCGUUAUCCGGAUUUAUUGGGCGUAAAGCGAGCGCAGGCGGUUGCUUAGGUCUGAUGUGAAAGCCUUCGGCUUAACCGAAGAAGUGCAUCGGAAACCGGGCGACUUGAGUGCAGAAGAGGACAGUGGAACUCCAUGUGUAGCGGUGGAAUGCGUAGAUAUAUGGAAGAACACCAGUGGCGAAGGCGGCUGUCUGGUCUGCAACUGACGCUGAGGCUCGAAAGCAUGGGUAGCGAACAGGAUUAGAUACCCUGGUAGUCCAUGCCGUAAACGAUGAGUGCUAGGUGUUGGAGGGUUUCCGCCCUUCAGUGCCGGAGCU